AUGACUGUGUGUAAUUGGAAAUUGGUUACCCUAAAAACUGCAUUUCCCAGGAGCCCACUGACUUCCUGUCAUUCUGUACUUCCUGUAGACAGAGGGAUAAAAUCCAGAGGGGCUCCUGGUCUCCCCUCUUUGCUUCCUGUCAGCGACUGUGGUGCUACAAGUUUGAACACUGAAGAGGCCAAAAGGACACAUUUGAAUACUGAGUUGGAAACUCUGAAAGCGGUUUUUGAGUGAACUAAAGGAUCUCGUGUCAGGUUCAGCCAGCCGCCCACGUCAGAAUCACAUUCACAGCGAAUACCCACCAAGUUUUUGCAGUUGAUGUGACGCAGUGGGUUGAGUUUCGUGAAAGGUCAAGCUGAGUACCAAGUGUCACCCGCACAUAUGCUAGCACAAAGAUCGGACUGUCUUUAAUUCCAAGUUUUCACCAGAGAUAAUCAUGGUUUUGCCACACUCCAGCUAUCUGGUGGGAAUUCUGCUGUGCUCAAGGGAGAUGUGCAUGGUGGGUGUGAGGAGGCAGAAGCAUCUUUCCAGGGUUGACCAGAAGGAAGUUCAAUCUAGAGUUGAAGCUGGGAAGGACCUUUGGAAAACGCUCGAUACUCCAUUUUACUAACGAGAAAACUGAAGCCUACAAAGGGUCAGUCAGUAAGUUAUCUAACUAGCAGAUGGCAGAACAGGGAUCCAGACAUGUUUCCCAAUUCCCAAUCCAUCAAUGUCCUUCCUACACCUUUGAGAAGCAUUUUGGGGAAAAUCCUAAAGUUCUGUAAUUGUAUUUUUGUCGUUUUUCUUUAUUUCUUCUCAUCAACAAGUAUUUAUUCUCCCUCCCUCCCUACUCUGAAAAAAACCCCAGAACUUUUGCUAUAAAUACACAGAGUCAAGGAAAGAAAACAUCAUUUAUUAAAAAUGUAUCAUGUGCAAAGUUCUUUUCUAAGUCUUAAAGAUCACAGACAAAAAAUGUAAAAUAAUCCCUAUCCUUAAGGACUUUCUAUUUAUUCUACCACAGGAUAACAUGCAAACAGGUAAGUAAAUGCAAGAAAACGUAGAGGGUACAGAGCACGAAUAGCUGAUAGGAACAGGAAGAAGCUGCAAGAAUCAAGUGUCAAUUGAUGUGACCUUUAUAAAAAGCUGAAGAUUCCAAGGAGAACAGUGUAGGAGAGAGUACAUUCUAGGCAAAAGUAUGGAAGCCAGUUUGGCGAACAUCAAGUAGUCAGUUUGACUGAAGAGUUUGUUAAAUAGGAAAUAAAUCCGGAAAGUUAACCUGGAAUGAGAUUGGG
rnacentral:lncRNA from 1 species